GACGAACGCUGGCGGCGUGCUUAACACAUGCAAGUCGAACGGUAAGGCCCUUCGGGGUACACGAGUGGCGAACGGGUGAGUAACACGUGGGUGAUCUGCCCUGCACUUCGGGAUAAGCCUGGGAAACUGGGUCUAAUACCGGAGAGGACCACUGCCUGCAUGGGUGGUGGUGGAAAGCUUUUGCGGUGUGGGAUGGGCCCGGGGGCUAUCAGCUUGGUGGUGGGGUGGUGGCCUACCAAGGCGACGGCGGGUAGCCGGCCUGGGAGGGGGACCGGCCACACUGGGACUGAGAUACGGCCCAGACUCCUACGGGAGGCAGCAGUGGGGAAUAUUGCACAAUGGGCGCAAGCCUGAUGCAGCGACGCCGCGUGAGGGAUGACGGCCUUCGGGUUGUAAACCUCUUUCAGCACCGACGAAACGCAAGUGACGGUAGGUGCAGAAGAAGGACCGGCCAACUACGUGCCAGCCGCCGCCGUAA
rnacentral:rRNA from 1 species